GCGCCCGUAGCUCAGUUGGAUAGAGUACCUGGCUACGAACCAGGUGGUCGGGAGUUCGAAUCUCUCCGGGCGCACCA
rnacentral:tRNA from 3 species